rnacentral:siRNA from 1 species
UGAGUUAUUUGAGGUACGACA